rnacentral:rRNA from 1 species
CCUACGGGGGGCAGCAGUCGGGAAAAUUUUGCAAUGCGCGAAAGCGUGACAGAGCAAGCCAGAGUGAUUUUCCAUAUUGGAAAAUCUUUUGUGCGAUCUAAACAGUCGCACGAAUAAGGACUGGGAGAGACUGGUGCCAGCCGCCGCGGUAAUCCCAGCAGUCCGAGUCGCAGCCACAUUUGUUGGGUCUAAAACAUCCGUAGCUUGCUUUUCAAGUCUCAUGUGAAAUCUGGCCUCUUAAGGGUCGGGCGAGCAUGAGAUACUGUUAAGCUAGAGACCGGGAGACGUAAGAAGUACGGACGGGGUAGCGGUAAAAUGUGUUGAUCCCGUUUGGACUAACAACAGCGAAGGCAUCUUACGAGAACGGAUCUGACAGUGAGGGAUGAAGGCUAGGGGCGCAAAGUGGAUUAGAUACCCCGGUAGUC